UUCUCGAGCUUCGGCUCGACUCUCCCACCCUUUGUGAACAUACCUCUGUUGCUUUGGCGGCUCGCCUCCGUGGCCUCGUGCCUCGGACGGCCGCCAGAGGACCAUCAAACUCCAGUCAGUAAACGUCGACGUCUGAUAAACAAGUUAAUAAACUAAAACUUUCAACAACGGAUCUCUUGGUUCUGGCAUCGAUGAAGAACGCAGCGAAAUGCGAUAAGUAAUGUGAAUUGCAGAAUUCAGUGAAUCAUCGAAUCUUUGAACGCACAUUGCGCCCCUUGGUAUUCCGAGGGGCAUGCCUGUUCGAGCGUCAUUACAACCCUCAAGCUCUGCUUGGUAUUGGGCGCCGUCCUCACUGCGGACGCGCCUCAAAGACCUCGGCGGUGGCGUCUAGCCCUCAAGCGUAGUAGAAAACACCUCGCUUUGGAGCGGUUGGCGUCGCCCGCCGGACGAACCUUCUGAACUUUUCUCAAGGUUGACCUCGGA
rnacentral:rRNA from 1 species